AUUGAACGCUAGCGGCAUGCCUUACACAUGCAAGUCGAACGGAGUGGCGAACGGGUGAGUAAUGUAUCGGAACGUGCCCAGUAGCGGGGGGUAACUACCCGAAGGCGUAGCUAACUCCUCAUACUAUUGGACAGGCCGAUAUCGGAUUAGCUAGUUGGUGGGGUAAGGGCUCACCAAGGCGACGAUCGGUAGCUGGUUGGAGAGGACGACCGGCCACACUGGAACUGAGACACGGCCCAGACUCCUACGGGAGGCAGCAGGGGGGAAUUUUGGACAAUGGGGGAAACCCUGAUGCAGCCAUCCCGCGUGUGCGAGGAAGGCCUGCGGGUUGUAAAGCACUUUUGGCAGGAAAGCGGUACCUGCAGAAUAAGCACCGGCUAACUACGUGCCAGCAGCCGCGGUAAUAC
rnacentral:rRNA from 1 species